AACCCGCCUAGCUCGACGGAGCGAAAAGCCGGCCACCUACCGGCCUGGCGGGAAUCUCACUAGGCUUGGCG
rfam:Pseudoxanthomonas indica strain P15 genome assembly, contig: Ga0138986_11